UUGCGUCCAGAGCAGCCAGCCCACGAACAAACCUCGCCCUCGACAAGCCUCGGUAAAAAGCCUGAACUGCUGCCCGUGCCCUGCUGCCCGUGCUCCCUGUGCGCCGUUCCCCCUCCCUUGCCAUCUGCUCUCGCCGCCUGCCCUCCCUGGCGAAGGCGAUCGUGCGCGUCCGUUACCGCACGUCGGCCCAUCUCCUGCCCCCCUGCGCGCUACUCCGCUGCCCUGCAUUCGACUGGCCGCCUGCCCUCCCAAGCAACUGUGCACGGACGUUUCUCGCCCGUUUGCUCCCCAUCUCCUGUUCGUCCGUACCAGCUGCUCCGGCGCCGCGGCCAAUCCUCUCCCGACCACCGAUGCAGCCACUAAUGCUCUAGAAAGCGCCCCACGUAUCCAAGCAUUCAUCAACCACGAUUGCUCUGCAAAUACAACACCUUCUUCAUCCUUUAAAUCCCUGCCCAUGCGACCUGCUCGAAUCGCCUCUCUGGCACCGACGCUCGCUCAGUGCUUGCUUCGGUUCUCAGUGCUGCUCAAUUUGUUAGGCCCAGAAGUAGUUGACUGAUUGCUAAUUUUUAAAGUUGCGAAGCUCAUAAUUGUUGGGAUCAAUUUCUUCCUCGAUCGAGAUCUCUCUAUGCGGCUUGGGUCAGGACCUUGAUGAGGCAGCUGAGGAUGUGAAGGAAAAGAGAAGAACUGCAAAUGAAGCUACUGUGGAUCCAAAGAUUCUGUGGAAAUAUUCAAAAAGAGAAGAGCUGUAGAUGAAGGUACUGUGGAUCCGAAGAUUUUGCGGAAAUAUGCAAUUGACAAUGACGACUUUCAGGUUGAGAAGACCCUGCAGAAUGGCGAGUUGUCUGCACGCUGAGUUAUUAGUGUAAAAUCCAGCAAGACAAAUGCUGACAAGAAAGAGAAGCGUAAGGAAAUGGGAAAAUCGAAAGAAAAAAACAAUUUGUUCCAUGUCUAAAACAACAAGAAAAUUCGUCCCUAGAGGAAAGGCCUCCGAUGAGCCUUCUUUCAGGUCCUCUGAGUUUGCUACAAAUGUCUUGGUUUGUGAUAUUACUGUGUUCUGCUAAUUCAAGCUAUGGAAUUCGAACCAUGAAGAAAAACAGUCUGGUAAUUAUCCAAUCAGAGACUCAUAUGCUUGAUCUUCUAAUAAUUUUUUCCACUUGCAUUAAGUUAUAGAUAUUUUUUGUUCUGCAAAGAUGUUGUUCCAUCCAGACCAUCUAAAAUCUAAAGCCUAUAACAGCACAUCAAUUUUUUUUGUUGCUAAGCCUCCUGGUAAUUAAUCUUUUGACAAAUUAUAUGGUGCUCAACGAUUUCCUGCGUACCAAUGAGAGAUGUGCAAUUUAAUCGCCCAGGAGAACAGCAUAUAGCAAUCUAUUGUGAAAGAGCAGCAGGCCAAGCAACAGAAAGAGGGAAGCCUGCUAUUUGAGCUCCCCUUUUGUUUAUCCUUGAUUACAUGCAUGAUCUAUUUUCUGUCUAUUUCUCAUAAUAUUCCCAACAGCUUUAAUGGCCUAUUAAUUAAUAAAGGUUCUUCUGAAAUA